UGACUGCUGCCACUCAUGGACACGUUUGUGAGAGGAAAAUUGUCUGAAUGGCAGCUUGAAAAUCUUAUAGACACCUUUAAAGCUGCUAAAGAGGAGACAGCUUUGAAGGUCCUGCCAACUCUGCUUCCCCCAUCCAUCUACAGGAGAGGAGGAAAGGUCUUCAGACCCACCACAGAGGAGGCCCAGAAGUCAUUUAUUGACAUGCAGCCUGUUGGGACCAACAUGGUUGAAUAUUUAAACCAUGAGAUGACUGGAGCAUUGCUGCACAUUCUAUGCCUCAGUGAUGAGACAAGGGGGACAUCACAGACCUUUGCCAUUAUUCCAGGCCACGCCAUUGAGACUGUGUCUUUGUUGGAGGCGGUUGAUCUUUGCUUUAAAGCUUUUUUUGUUUUUGAUGUUCAGUACACCAAGCAGUGUCUCCCCACCUGGGAGUUUCUCCAGCAUGCUGUAUAUCAAAUUGAAGGAAAAGAGUCCUCCUCUGUAAAGUUUUUGAGGACAACAGUGGUUUCAGGCCCACAUGAUAUGUAGAUGAUUUUAAAAUGUAUUUUGUUGCUGUUCUUAAAUCAACACAUCUUAAUAAAUUAAAUUGUAAUCGUAUGAGAGUUCA
ensembl:lncRNA